ACAUGUUGCAAAAAUGAUGCCUGGGGCGGUGUCUGGUGGAAUAGCUGCCUGUCAGUACACGAGGACGUGCCUGGAUCAAAAGAUGCACGCUUGUUCGCUGAAGAGCAUUGUGCUAACCAAACCAUGAGAGGAUACAGGAUAUGGCUGUCAGCCAUGGAUGCCGACCCCACUGUUCAUUCCAGAAAACCAGGCAGAGAUGCAGUACAACCUUGCACACAGGUUGCGUGUUGUGUUUGAAAUGAUAUACUCUGAGGAAGUGCCUGCUAGUAUGGGCACGAAACGCAUCAGUGGUGUGUUAUAUGCACUGUGCCAAUGCUGACAACUUUUUAAAUAUGAACAAAUAAAGGAUGUGAAGAUUUUUAACGUA